CCUACGGGAGGCUGUAGUGGGGAAUAUUGGACAAUGGGCGAAAGCCUGAUCCAGCCAUGCCGCGUGUGUGAAGAAGGCCUUCGGGUUGUAAAGCACUUUCAGUGGGGAAGAAAGCCUUGGGGCUAAUACCCUCGAGGAAGGACAUCACCCACAGAAGAAGCACCGGCUAACUCCGUGCCAGCAGCCGCGGUAAUACGGAGGGUGCGAGCGUUAAUCGGAAUUACUGGGCGUAAAGCGCGCGUAGGCGGUCUGAUAAGCCGGUUGUGAAAGCCCCGGGCUCAACCUGGGAACGGCAUCCGGAACUGUCAGGCUAGAGUGCAGGAGAGGAAGGUAGAAUUCCCGGUGUAGCGGUGAAAUGCGUAGAGAGCGGGAGGAAUACCAGUGGCGAAGGCGGCCUUCUGGACUGACACUGACGCUGAGGUGCGAAAGCGUGGGUAGCAAACAGGAUUAGAUACCCCGGUAGUC
rnacentral:rRNA from 1 species